rnacentral:rRNA from 1 species
GACGGAGGGGGCUAGCGUUGUUCGGAAUGACUGGGCGUAAAGGGCGCGUAGGCGGUUUUUUAAGUGAGGCGUGAAAGCCCUGGGCUUAACCCAGGAAUUGCGUUUCAGACUGGAAAACUUGAGUACGAGAGAGGUAAGUGGAAUUCCUAGUGUAGAGGUGAAAUUCGUAGAUAUUAGGAAGAACACCAGUGGCGAAGGCGGCUUACUGGCUCGUAACUGACGCUGAGGCGCGAAAGCGUGGGGAGCAAACAGG